UCAUUUCAACCCUCGAACCCCUCCGGGGGGUCGGCGUUGGGGACUUCGGGAACCCCUAAGACGGGAUCCCGGCCCCGAAAUACAGUGGCGGUCUCGCCGCAGCCUCUCAUGCGCAGUAGUUUGCACAACUCGCACCGGGAGCGCGGCGCGUCCACGUCCGUAAAACACCCAACUUCUGAAAUGUUGACCUCGGAUCAGGUAGGAAUACCCGCUGAACUUAAGCAU
rnacentral:rRNA from 1 species